AUUCGCGUACAAAAACAUAAAACGAAAUAUUUGUCACUAAUUAUAAUUUCCAAUCUGUUAUGUUAUAACUUUAGAGGACAUUCUGCAAUUUACACAAAGUAUAAUAUGAAAUGGAUUUCAGGCUAUUAUUGGCGUUAUUGAAUAGAGGAUUAAAGGGGAAAUAAAUACAAAAGUCAUCGACGUUCUAUCUCUAGAAAUCAUAAUUGCGGCGUAGUAAUUACGAGAGGUAAAUUUGACAAAUUGUGCACAACAUCCUCUCCC